rnacentral:rRNA from 1 species
GCGGUGGAUGAUGUGGUUUAAUUCGAUGCAACGCGAAAACCUUACCCACCUUUGACAUGGCAGGAAUCCUGAAGAGAUUUGGGAGUGCUCGAAAGAGAACCUGCACACAGGUGCUGCAUGGCUGUCGUCAGCUCGUGUCGUGAGAUGUUGGGUUAAGUCCCGCAACGAGCGCAACCCUUGCCAUUAGUUGCUACGAAAGGGCACUCUAAUGGGACUGCCGGUGACAAACCGGAGGAAGGUGGGGGAUGACGUCAAGUCCUCAUGGCCCUUAUAGGUGGGGCUACACACGUCAUACAAUGGCCGGUACAGAGGGUAGCCAACCCGCAGGGGGAGCCAAUCCCACAAAGCCGGUCGUAGUCCGGAUCGCAGUCUGCAACUCGACUGCGUGAAGUCGGAAUCGCUAGUAAUCGCGGAUCAGCAUGUCGCGGUGAAUACGUUCCCGGGUCUU